UAGAUGCGCUCUAMCAUGCAGUCGACGAUGAAGCCUAGCUUGCUAGGUGGAUUAGUGGCGAACGGGUGAGUAAUACGUGAGUGACCUACCUUUGACUCUGGGAUAAGCCUGGGAAACUGGGUCUAAUACCGGAUAYGACCAAUCUCCGCAUGGGGUGUUGGUGGAAAGCGUUAUGGAGUGGUUUUAGAUGGGCUCACGGCCUAUCAGCUUGUUGGUGAGGUAAUGGCUUACCAAGGCGACGACGGGUAGCCGGCCUGAGAGGGUGACCGGCCACACUGGGACUGAGACACGGCCCARACUCCUACGGGAGGCAGCAGUGGGGAAUAUUGCACAAUGGGCGCAAGCCUGAUGCAGCGACGCCGCGUGAGGGAUGACGGCCUUCGGGUUGUAAACCUCUGUUAGCAUCGAARAAGCGAAAGUGACGGUAGGUGCAGAGAAAGCGCCGGCUAACUACGUGCCAGCAGCCGCGGUAAUACGUAGGGCGCGAGCGUUGUCCGGAAUUAUUGGGCGUAAAGAGCUUGUAGGCGGUUGGUCGCGUCUGCUGUGAAAGGCUGGGGCUUAACCCUGGUUUUGCAGUGGGUACGGGCUAACUAGAGUGCAGUAGGGGAGACUGGAAUUCCUGGUGUAGCGGUGGAAUGCGCAGAUAUCAGGAGGAACACCGAUGGCGAAGGCAGGUCUCUGGGCUGUAACUGACGCUGAGAAGCGAAAGCAUGGGGAGCGAACAGGAUUAGAUACCCUGGUAGUCCAUGCCGUAAACGUUGGGCACUAGGUGUGGGGGACAUUCCACGUUUUCCGCGCCGUAGCUAACGCAUUAAGUGCCCCGCCUGGGGAGUACGGCCGCAAGGCUAAAACUCAAAGAAAUUGACGGGGGCCCGCACAAGCGGCGGAGCAUGCGGAUUAAUUCGAUGCAACGCGAAGAACCUUACCAAGGCUUGACAUAUACUGGACUGCGUCAGAGAUGGCGUUUCCCUUCGGGGCUGGUAUACAGGUGGUGCAUGGUUGUCGUCAGCUCGUGUCGUGAGAUGUUGGGUUAAGUCCCGCAACGAGCGCAACCCUCGUUCUAUGUUGCCAGCACGUGAUGGUGGGGGACUCAUAGGAGACUGCCGGGGUCAACUCGGAGGAAGGUGGGGAUGACGUCAAAUCAUCAUGCCCCUUAUGUCUUGGGCUUCACGCAUGCUACAAUGGCCGGUACAGAGGGUUGCGAUACUGUGAGGUGGAGCUAAUCCCUAAAAGCCGGUCUCAGUUCGGAUUGGGGUCUGCAACUCGACCCCAUGAAGUCGGAGUCGCUAGUAAUCGCAGAUCAGCAACGCUGCGGUGAAUACGUUCCCGGGCCUUGUACACACCGCCCGUCAAGUCACGAAAGUUGGUAACACCCGAAGCCGGUGGCCUAACCCUGGUGGGGGGAGCCGUCGAAGGUGGGACUGGCGAUUGGACUAAGUCGUAUCACGUUUUGC
rnacentral:rRNA from 1 species